UUGAUAUUUGCAAUUCAAAUUUACUAGGAGGAAGUCUUCUGUGAAAAGAAUCAUCCAUCCCCUGAUAAUGGCUAAUUUUAUUCCUAAUUGGGGCUAUGAACCAUUCAAAGAAAAAACUUUCAACCCUUUCCAAAAUCCACUGGCUUGAAAGAAACCCAGAUGUCAUUAGUGUGUCAGUGUUCCCUGAUGAGAGCUAAGGAUGAAAAAAGCAGUUUUGACUUUUAGAGGAGCUUUUGAGACUGUGAUGUCAUCAGCUUCUCCCAGGCUUGAGAGCAAUUUACUUCAUUGUAUUGUAAUUUAAUGCAGUACUCUUAUUCAGUUACUAGUCACCCUACAUAAAACUAGAAAGCCCAGAAGAAAGGACACAAGAUCCAUGCUCCUGACCUUAGGAUAACUGAUUUAAACUUUUCUUCACCUUUCAAAUGGUAUUACCCUUAUUGGCUUGAUCACUCUAAGUGCUGCGUUGUUCAUUCCUGAUUGGCUCAAUUCCAUUGUGUGAGGAAUCAGAUGGCGGUCCUACUGUCCCUCAUAUAACGUGAAGAUAUUUGUGAAUUAAGAGAUGUGAAAAGGCUUUGUCUCAACUCCCCUUACCUGCCUAAAAGCAGAGCCUCCCCAAGGAGUUCAACUGUCCUAAAUCCUUUCGCCAGAAUUUCAUAACCAGGGAAGAUGACUCCUGUCAACAAGAUGAGAAGCCAGGACUGGGAUAAAAAAUUGUCCAAGAAAUUGUUACAAAACUAUCGUGUCUCCCAUCUGUUUUCCUAAGUACCCCUUUAUCUUUCCUAAGUGGUCCUUUCUCCUCCAACUUUUCCCACACUAAUGUGGUAUAUAAGUCCCAAAUUCUAACCCCCUCUUUAUGCCACAUUUUCUGUGAGCUGUCCUAUAAACAAAUAAGAAUAAACAUUGUCUUUUCUAUUGUAAAUCUUCCUUUUGUCAGUUUAAUUUGCAGGCCCUUAAGAACAAACUUAAGAAAGCUGAGGAAAAAUUUUUCCUCCCUGACAAAGGCAAUGUCAAA